GGUGGGAUUGCUGAAUCUUAUGUUUAAGUGUUUGCUCAACUAUAUGAGAAAUUCCCAAACUGCUUCCCAUAGUGGUUAUGCCAUUUCGAAUUCUCAUCAGCAAC
rnacentral:pre_miRNA from 1 species